UAUCUCCUGUCAGUAACUAGUUGAACCACUGCUUUGUAGAAUCAGAAUCUCACCAGUUGCUCAACUUAUUAUUUUGCACUCAUCCCCGUAGUUGUUAAACAGCUCAAUAGAACCUAAUAUAGUGCUAGAUCUCUAUAGUUGUCUGGUGGUCUGAGUCUUGGAAGUGAGUAUUAAAAGAAUGUAUUGACCAGACACUGCUUCAAGGGGUUCAAUGAAGACGUAUGUACAUCUCUGUUCAUGUUAAGACAUUAGUGACACAAUGUGACUACUACUUGAAAUAUAAAAUAUGAUUGUUGAUUUACCACUGUGAAAAUAAAAUUGAGUAUUUCCCUCAAGUUGUAUAGUAUUAUGAAGUAUAAAAUCUUUGAUGUUGAAUGUCAUGUGUGGACAGAAUUAAAUUAUUUAUUUGGAGAACUGA